UNUGACUUGAGUGCAGAAGGGGAGAGUGGAAUUCCAUGUGUAGCGGUGAAAUGCGUAGAUAUAUGGAGGANCACCAGUGGCGAAAGCGGCUCUCUGGUCUGUCACUGACGCUGAGGCUNGAAAGCGUGGGUAGCGAACAGGAUUAGAUACCCUGGUAGUCCACGCCGUAAACGAUGAGUGCUAGGUGUUAGGCCCUUUCCGGGGCUUAGUGCCGGAGCUAACGCAAUAAGCACUCCGCCUGGGGAGUACGACCGCAAGGUUGAAACUCAAAGGAAUUGACGGGGGCCCGCACAAGCGGUGGAGCAUGUGGUUUAAUUCGAAGCAACGCGAAGAACCUUACCAGGUCUUGACAUCCCGAUGCUAUUCUUAGAGAUAGGAAGUUACUUCGGUACAUCGGAGACAGGUGGUGCGUGGUUGUCGUCAGCUCGUGUCGUGAGAUGUUGGGUUAAGUCCCGCAACGAGCGCAACCCUUAUUGUUAGUUGCCAUCAUUAAGUUGGGCACUCUAGCGGGACUGCCGGUAAUAAACCGGAGGAAGGUGGGGAUGACGUCAAAUCAUCAUGCCCCUUAUGACCUGGGCUACACACGUGCUACAAUGGUCGGUACAACGAGUUGCGAGCCGGUGACGGCAAGCUAAUCUCUGAAAGCCGAUCUCAGUUCGGAUUGGAGGCUGCAACUCGCCUCCAUGAAGUCGGAAUCGCUAGUAAUCGCGGAUCAGCACGCCGCGGUGAAUACGUUCCCGGGCCUUGUACACACCGCCCGUCACACCACGAGAGUUUGUAACACCCGAAGUCGGUGAGGUAACCUUUUAGGGGCCAGCCGC
rnacentral:rRNA from 1 species